rnacentral:rRNA from 1 species
GACGUAGGGCGCGAGCGUUUGUCCGGAUUUAUUGGGCGUAAAGAGCUCGUAGGCGGCUUGUCACGUCGGGUGUGAAAGACCGGGGCUUAACUCCGGUUCUGCAUUCGAUACGGGCAGACUAGAGGUAUGCAGGGGGAGAACGGAAUUCCUGGUGUAGCGGUGAAAUGCGCAGAUAUCAGGAGGAACACCGGUGGCGAAGGCGGUUCUCUGGGCAUUACCUGACGCUGAGGAGCGAAAGUGUGGGGAGCGAACAGG